UACGAACUGUGCAAACGUUAUUCGGAUUCACUGGGCUUAAAGGGUGCGUAGGCGGUCGGGUAAGUCUGAUGUGAAAUCUCACAGCUUAACUGUGAAACUGCAUUGGAUACUAUCCGGCUCGAGGAAUGGAGGGGAGACUGGAAUACUUGGUGUAGCAGUGAAAUGCGUAGAUAUCAAGUGGAACACCAGUGGCGAAGGCGAGUCUCUGGACAUUUCCUGACGCUGAGGCACGAAAGCCAGGGGAGCAAACGGG
rnacentral:rRNA from 1 species